UGCGUAGGCGGCUUUUUAAGUCGGAUGUGAAAUCCCUGAGCUUAACUUGGGAACUGCGUUUGAAACUAUCAAGCUAGAAUAUGUCAGAGGGGGGUAGAAUUCCACGUGUAGCAGUGAAAUGCGUAGAGAUGUGGAGGAAUACCAAUGGCGAAGGCAGCCCCCUGGGAUAAUAUUGACGCUCAUGCACGAAAGCGUGGGGAGCAAACAGGAUUAGAUACCCGCGUA
rnacentral:rRNA from 1 species